AUUGAACGCUGGCGGAAUGCUUUACACAUGCAAGUCGAACGGCAGCACGGACUUCGGUCUGGUGGCGAGUGGCGAACGGGUGAGUAAUACAUCGGAACGUGCCCGGACGUGGGGGAUAACUACUCGAAAGAGUGGCUAAUACCGCAUACGAUCCAAGGAUGAAAGCGGGGGAUCGCAAGACCUCGCGCGUUUGGAGCGGCCGAUGGCAGAUUAGGUAGUUGGUGAGGUAAAGGCUUACCAAGCCUGCGAUCUGUAGCUGGUCUGAGAGGAUGAUCAGCCACACUGGGACUGAGACACGGCCCAGACUCCUACGGGAGGCAGCAGUGGGGAAUUUUGGACAAUGGGCGAAAGCCUGAUCCAGCCAUUCCGCGUGCAGGAUGAAGGCCCUCGGGUUGUAAACUGCUUUUGUACGGAACGAAAAGGCUCUUGCUAAUACCAGGAGUCCAUGACGGUACCGUAAGAAUAAGCAACCGGCUAACUACGUGCCAGC
rnacentral:rRNA from 1 species